CAUGCAAGUCGGACGGUAACAGGGAUUGCUUGCAAUCCGCUGACGAGUGGCGCACGGGUGCGCAACGCGUAUAGAACCUACCCUUUACAGGGGGAUAGCCCAGAGAAAUUUGGAUUAAUACCCCGUAGUACCUAUUAGAGGCAUUUCUAAUAGGUUAUAGUUUUCGAACGGUAAAGGAUGGCUAUGCGUCUUAUUAGCUAGUAGGUAAGGUAACGGCUUACCUAGGCUACGAUAAGUAGGGGCCCUGAGAGGGGGAUCCCCCACACUGGUACUGAGACACGGACCAGACUCCUACGGGAGGCAGCAGUGAGGAAUAUUGGACAAUGGGCGGAAGCCUGAUCCAGCCAUGCCGCGUGCAGGAAGACGGCCCUAUGGGUUGUAAACUGCUUUUAUACGGGAAGAAUAAGGGAUACGUGUAUCCUGGUGACGGUACCGUAAGAAUAAGGACCGGCUAACUCCGUGCCAGCAGCCGCGGUAAUACGGAGGGUCCGAGCGUUAUCCGGAAUUAUUGGGUUUAAAGGGUCCGCAGGCGGGCAAUUAAGUCAGAGGUGAAAUGGUGCGGCUCAACCGUAGCACUGCCUUUGAUACUGGUUGUCUUGAGUCAUGGUGGAGUGGCCGGAAUAUGUAGUGUAGCGGUGAAAUGCAUAGAUAUUACAUAGAACACCGAUCGCGAAGGCAGGUCACUAACCAUGUACUGACGCUGAUGGACGAAAGCGUGGGGAGCGAACGGGAUUAGAUACCCCGGUAGUCCACGCCGUAAACGAUGGAUACUAGCUGUCCGCUGCCUUGAGCAGUGGGCGGCCAAGCGAAAGUGAUAAGUAUCCCACCUGGGGAGUACGUUCGCAAGAAUGAAACUCAAAGGAAUUGACGGGGGCCCGCACAAGCGGUGGAGCAUGUGGUUUAAUUCGAUGAUACGCGAGGAACCUUACCAGGGCUUAAAUGCA
rnacentral:rRNA from 1 species